rnacentral:rRNA from 1 species
UACAGAGGUGGCAAGCGUUGUUCGGAAUUACUGGGCGUAAAGGGCGCGUAGGCGGUCCCGUCAGUCCCUUGUGAAAUCCCCCCGGCUCAACUGGGGAACUGCAAGGGAUACAGCGGGGCUGAGUUCGGGAGAGGGAAGCGGAAUUCCGGGUGUAGCGGUGGAAUGCGUAGAGAUCCGGAGGAAGACCGGUGGCGAAGGCGGUCUGCUGGGGCAGUUUCUGACACUGAGGCGCGACAGCGUGGGGGAGCAAACAGG